rnacentral:lncRNA from 1 species
AUACAACUUAAGUCAAUGGGCUUGACGUUCGAAGCCCAUUGGGCCUUAAGGUCCAAAACCUAUCCCGAGGUCUUCAACGAACUUAUUCGUUUGAUUAAUUAACAUAUUAAUUAAUCCUUGCCAUAAAUUAAUGAUUAAACCAUUUAAUCAUUCUUACUCAUCUCCAUUGUUUCUUCAAUCUCCACCUUACACGGUGUGCGAUCCAUUAGGUUCCUUUUAGCGAGGCAGUGGGCGAUUAAAACCAUUUUAAAUCGAUUGUGAAUUGAAACUUACUUUCAAUUCUCCCUUUAGUGAUUACACACGUUUAGGGCUUCCACAAACCA